rnacentral:lncRNA from 1 species
GGCAGUACCAGAAGCACCACCUGUGGCACCCGGAGCUGCUCAGAGGAAGGUCUGAAAAUCACAAACCUCAGACUAACCCCUUCAUUUGAGAAACUGGGGCCCAGAGGGCUGAAGUGACUUUUGCAGUGUCAUGAAAUUGUCAACCAAAGGACUGAAUCCCAGCGCACUGUGCUUUCAGCUGUUUUACCCUAUAUUCCUGAAGGAUGAGUUCUAUAGAAUAGAUUAGCUCCUAUCAGUGGGUAGCCCUCUAGGGAGAGAACUGUCAGAGGGUUUUGUUCACGCCUUGUUUCAAAUGCUGCUGCUCCUUCAGGACUGUGGACAUGGAGACCUGCUUCCUAAGACUUCCCUCCCCACUUGGCAAUCAUCUUGAAUUUGUAUUAGAAGUAAGGAAAUGGGACUGCUUUCUCCAAAUAUUUAUAAUGACUUUAUUGCUCUGAAUUGCCACACAUCAGAGAGAACUUUUAACCAUUAGGGGUCUUGACUUCCUAUUUGUGAAAAGUGGAGUGACUCUGAUCAAGAAGGCUCAACUCCUUUUGGUUGGAGAUCACAGGAAUGGCAUCAUGUCAUGAUGGCCAUAGGGGAGCUACACCAGCUGUACUGUCCCCAGUGGAAAGAGCCAGGACCCAGGACAGGCAGUGACAGCUUCCCAGGUAUUAAUAGAAACUGUGAGAGAGUCCUAGGAAGUCCAAGAUAAUUAGGAAGAGGAAGCCAACCCCAGGGAAGGAAAAAUCUGGAAGCCAUGGGCAGGACAAAGAUGUAGGGAACCCCCUGUCGAAGACCCACUAAGAUACACUUCCUCCAGUGCUGUAGGUGUGGCCUAUCCCCAUUAUGAGGAUCCCAGUCAGGCUCAGCAAUGGCAACACCAGAUUUGCUUCUGGAGUUCCAGCUCGAUCUUCUAGAUGAAGCUGGGACGAUGAAUGGAAAAGAUACAAAGUGAAAAGUUGAGUCACAUGGAGGGGAUCCUCUUGGACCACCCUUAUCCUGGCUUCUUUUCCACCUGCCUCUAGGAAGCUUAAGCUUCUAGCUUUCCUAAACAAGGAUGGUGUCUACAUUUGUGAACCAGAGAGGAACUCUGCAUGAAGUCUUGAAAGGUGAGUCUUCAUUAGCCAGGAGACAAAGGCAUAUUGGGAAGGAGCGCCUACCAGGCAGAAGGGAAAGCAUGUGCAAAGCGUGAAGAUAGGAAAUCAAGUUCUGUUUGGAACUAAUGGUGGUACAGGUGGCUCAGGUGUAUGUGAAAAGGCAGGAGAUGAAGCUGGAAAGAAGACCCUCUGCACCACACUUUCAGGGUAAAAUCCACUCUCCUUAGUAUGGCAAUUAAGACUCUUCAACCCUCAGGAUUUCCAGAUUGAAAGGCCUUCCUCCCACACAGAUAAAGACACACCCUUAAGCCCCUCAUGAACUUGGAAUAAGACAGAUCUAGGUUUAAAUACAUGCUCUGCAACAUACAACCUACUUGAUCUUGGGAAAGUUGUUUAAAAUCUCUGGACCCCAAUUUUCCUAUCUCUAAAAUGGGAAUUAAGUACAUUUACCUCAAAGAGAUGAUGUGAGGACUUAGUUAUGAGAAAUACAAUAUAGAAGCAACGCUGAGUAGUUAUGCUGCGAGCCACAUGGGAAGUCUUUAAAAAAUAAAUACAUUUACAUAUUAAAAACAAAAAAACAGAAAAAAACCCCAUGUCACUGGGGGAAGGACAGUGAACCCUUCCCAGAGCAUGUGUGAAGACCGACUCUGGCUGGAAAAACUGAGAAGAAAGAAUACUGCAUACUCCUGUAGGGACAGCAGGAGACUUCCUGGACUCAGAGGAUUAGAGAUUUCCUAACACUCAAGUGAGGGGCAGGAUCACUGCCAACCCCUGCCCAAACCAGGGGUACAGGGCCUGCCUAUGAUCAAGGCUGAGCCAGAAUGACAGAGAGUACAUUUCUUCUCCCCACCAGACUGGGUACUGUCAAGGGAAAGGCAACCACGUUAAGCCAGGAGAGGAGACAAGGCCAUGCAGAGAGACUCUGAGACCCAAGCAUACAGGGAAGGGUGAAAGUGAGGGUGAAAUAGGAACACGGAGAAGUGUCCUCUGUCUAAACAAUACCCACCUUAAGCACGGAAUAACUGAAGAAAUUUGAGGCCAAUGGUGAAUUCAGGGUCACCAUAGCAAUAAAAAACCCAAACCCAGCUCAACGACUGACUUUACUGGGUGAACCACCCCUGUCCCCAACCCUGGCCUCCAGCACACAGGAAUGGCCUAGGAGAAGAGGUGUCUCAUUUCUAUGCAUAAGUUCUAUUUGUUUGAGUCUAUACUCUUUUAAACUUUGUGCCUGACAAUAAAUAAAAAAUUAUGAGACAAACACAAAAAAGCAAGAAAAAACAAUCCGUGGUAAAGAGUAAAGUGAACCAUAGAAUCAGACUCAGAGAUAACCCAGAUAUUGGAAUGAUUACAGACAGGGACAGUUAGAGACAUGAGGUAUGUCUUUGAUGGGUCUGGGAUGGUUAAUUUUAUGUGUUAAGUUGACUGGGCUAAAGGGGCCCAGAUAACUGGUAAAUCAUCAUUUCUAUGUAUGUCUUUGAAGGUGUUUCCAGACAGAAAACUGAUUCAAGAUAGGCUGAGUGAAUAUGGCCCUCACCCCUAACCAGUGUAGGUGGGCAUAAUCUAAUCCACUGAGGACUGCAAGAGGAUAAAAAAAUGGAGGGAGGCUGACUUUGGUCUCUGCUUGAGCUGGGACUCCUGUCUUCCUCAGGCAUCAGCGUUUCCCGUUCUCAGGCCUUUGGUCUUGGACCAGGAUGUUCGUGAAUCUCUCUCUCCAGACUCAGUAAUAGGAAAAUAAACAACCCAAUUAAAAAUGGGCAAAGUUUAAACAUUUCUCCAAAGAAGAUAUUCAGACCUCAAAUGUACGUAUAAAAAGAUGCUCAACAUCCUCAGAUAGUAGGAAAAUUAAAAGUCUAAUGAGGUAACACUAUACAGCUAUUAGAAUUCCUAAAAGAAUAUGACAGUUAUCAAGUGCUGACAAAAAAGUGGAGCAACUGAAACUUGCGUGUAUCGCUGAGAGAGGAUAAAAUAUGGUGCAGACACGUGUUUGGAAAUUUCUUAUAAUGUUAAAAUAGAUUUAUUGUACUACCCAGCAUGAUCGCCACCCAAGAGAAACGAAAACUCAACGUUACACAAAAACCUGUAUGUGAAUAUAUAGAGAAGGUUUAUUCACAACUGCCAAAAACUGGAAGUAAGUCAAAUGUCUUUCAUUUCUAUGUAAACAAACUGGGAUACAUCCAGGUAAUGGAAUACUACUCAGCAAUAAAAAGGAACAAACUUCUGAUAGACACACAAUGUAUGAAUCUAAAAUGUAUUAUGGUAAGAAAAAGAACCUACACUACAAAGGCUUAUAUGACAUUCUGGAAAAGGCAAAACCAUAGGGAAGAGAAUUGAUUAAGGGGUUGGGGCAAAGAUUGACCACGAAGAGACAUGAGAUAAUGUUUUGGGUGAUAGAACUGUUCUAUAUCUUGAGUGUGGUAAUGGUCACAUUAUUGUCAAAACUCACAGAACUGUAGAUUAAAAGCGGUGAAUUUACUGUAUAUAUAUUGUACCUCAAUAAAUUUAAUUAAAG